UCAAUCGUGCGCCUUCUCCAGGCGAUUUUCGGAUAUUUUCGGAUCUACACAGAGAUUGGUCUUCUUCGAACAAUUUACCCAAAAAUUUUGGAUUAUUUCAACUUAUUCUAUAGCGUUUAUUCAUCAAACCUGCUAGAGAAAUUAGGAGCUCAUGAUCACAAUGUAGCUUGAUGGUGGGAAACUCUCCAAACUUUCUCAAGAUAAGCCUUCCCAGACAUAGAGCUUCCGGAAUAACCACUAGGUUGAAAAAAUGUGGAGGAGCUCUUAGUGCGACUUGCAAGAAUGAGAAGAUACUUAUAGCAAAUCGAGGUGAAAUCGUAGUCCGAGUGAUUCUCACUGCUCACGAGAUGGGGAUUCCGUGUGUCGCAGUUCACUCAACAAUAGAUCAUGAUGCACUUCAUGUAAAGCUUGCAGAUGAAGCUGUUUGCAUUGGUGAAGCACAGAGCAGUCAAUCCUCUCUGCUAUAUGCAGCAAGCAAAAAGUGUAGCGGCAGCUGCAUUUGGUAAUGAUGGAGUUUAUUUAGAGAAGUACAUCAAGAAUCCAGAAUUUCAGGUUCUUGCUGACAAAUAUGGAAAUGUCGUUCACUUUGGGGAGCGUGAUUGUAGCAUUCAGAUUGAAGCAACAAGCAGGAUUUGAUGUUCGCAUUUCAAGAAUGUUUAGCUGGAGCUUUUCACUUUCAGUUUUCUUAACUUUCUAACAUUUAGGGUUCAAAUAAAUUUUUUAUUGCAUUGAUUUCUAUUAGAAUAUAAAAACUUGUUUUGUUGCAUUUUAUCACUGCUCUAGAUCAUUACUUAUAGUUUUGUUUCAAAAAUGAUUAUAUCGUCUUAUUGCAAUUUAGUAAUAUGACUCUUAUUUUUUUCGGAUAUUA